rnacentral:rRNA from 1 species
ACGUACACUCCUACGGGAGGCAGCAGUAGGGAAUCUUCCACAAUGGGUGCAAACCUGAUGGAGCAAUGCCGCGUGAGUGAAGAAGGUCUUCGGAUCGUAAAGCUCUGUUGUUAGAGAAGAACACGUGCUAGGUAACUACUAGCGCCUUGACGGUAUCUAACCAGAAAGUCACGGCUAACUACGUGCCAGCAGCCGCGGUAAUACGUAGGUGACAAGCGUUGUCCGGAUUUAUUGGGCGUAAAGGGAGCGCAGGCGGUCUGUUUAGUCUAAUGUGAAAGCCCGCGGCUUAACCGUGGAACGGCAUUGGAAACUGACAGACUUGAAUGUAGAAGAGGAAAAUGGAAUUACAAGUGUAGCGGUGGAAUGCGUAGAUAUUUGGAGGAACACCAGUGGCGAAGGCGAUUUUCUGGUCUAACAUUGACGCUGAGGCUCGAAAGCGUGGGGAGCGAACAGGAUUAGAAACCCGGGUAGUCCCAUG